GCCUUCAGACGGGGACAACUCAGGGAAACUUGUGCUAAUACCCGAUGAGACCACAAGAAGGGAUUUUUGUGGCCAAAGGCGGGCAGCAAUGCUCGUGCUGAAAGAUGAGUCUGCGUCCUAUCAGCUGGUUGGUGGGGUAAAUGCCUACCAAGGCUAAGACGGGUAGCCGGCCUGAGAGGGUGAACGGCCACACUGGGACUGAGACACGGCCCAGACUCCUACGGGAGGCAGCAGUGAGGAAUUUUCCGCAAUGGGCGCAAGCCUGACGGAGCGACGCCGCGUGAAGGGGAUGACAGCUUUCGGGUUGUAAACCUCUUUUAUUAAGGAAAAAGAUCUAUAUGCUAAUAUCAUGUAGAUUUGAUGGUACUUAUUGAAUAAGCCCCGGCUAACUACGUGCCAGCCGCCGC
rnacentral:rRNA from 1 species